rnacentral:rRNA from 1 species
CAAUAGCGUAUAUUUAAGUUGUUGCAGUUAAAAAGCUCGUAGUUGGAUUUCUGCUGAUCGCUGUCGGUCUGCCGUCAGGUGUGUACUGGCAGUGUUUGGCAUCUAUUCGAGAUUGGGUGUCCACUUGAUUGUGUGCACUCGAUGUCGGAGCUAAUACUUUGAGAAAAUUAGAGUGUUCCACGCAGGCGCGUGCCUUGAAUACUGCAGCAUGGGAUAUUGGAAGGCCGAUUGAGCUUUCUUGUUGGUUCUCGGUUUGAUCGGAAUGAUUAAUAGGGAUAGUUGGGGGCAUUCGUAUUCAACUGUCAGAGGUGAAAUUCUUGGAUUUGUUGAAGACUGACUACUGCGAAAGCAUCUGCCAUGGAUGUUCUCAUUGA